ACCUUAUUUAUUACAGUUUUCUAAAAUAGAAUAAACAACUUUCAAAAUAAACAUCUUACAUUAAAAUUUGUUACAUUACCUAACUAUACUAACGGUUAAACUAUUAAACUUUAAUAAAUGAUGUCAUGAAGAAUCUCUACCUCUUUUGGACAUGGCUUGUCCUUUAGAGCUUGGUCUUCUCUUUUCAUAGCAGCAUGAUUCCAUUUUCAGCUUUUGAACCUGCUGAUUAACUACGCAUUUUAAAACCUAUGUAUAUUUUUACAACGUUUUAACCGAUUUUACCCUAACCAACUUUGAAACUAGAAAUUCCACCUAAAGAACACAAGAAAAAUUCGCUACUUCAAACCAGCUUGUAAAGAUCAGAAAUAAGAAGUUUUCAAAGUUUUCUAGAGUUUCUAAAAUCAGACGCCUUUUUAGAAAGCUUUUGUGCAGAGAAAUGGUGAUGAAUGUGUGUGUGUUAGUGAGGGAAUGUUUCUCUUUUGAUAGAGUGCACAAAAAGGCAUCAAAAAGGAAUAUCCUAACCUAACAAUUUAGAAAAUUAGAAUAGUACAACAUCUUUUUAUAGCUGUCUGUCUUUUUCCUUAUCCAAUACUAGCAUUUUUAGUCAAAGGAUGGGAACAACUAUGAAAAGCCUAGAAUAUUCUGAUGAUUAACCUUUGUAAAUGUCCAAUUUUACCCUUUAAAUAACUGGCUAUUUUAGCCUUGUCCUAUCUUCUGAUUUCAAAUCAAUUAUAACCAUUUUAAGACAUUCAACUAAGUGAUUAAGUUUCCUAGUGGUAUUGCAUUUCAUUUUCUGAAAUUAAAUUAACUUUAAAAUAAAGUUUAAAUUGCUACUCAGAGGUUCAAACCUAAAGUUAAAAUAAGUUAAUCAUAAUCAAUCAAAACAUGUAAGUAUGUAAACUCAUAUUUAAAUAGCUAAUCACAAUUAAACUAUUUUAACCAAGACUACGCUGAAUUAGGCUAAAACUAAAUUAAUUUGGAUUUAGCUGAAAUAGGAAAUUAAUAACCAUUAACCAUAGCCUAAUUAAACAAAGGAAUACUAAAAACAAACUUGCAAGAAUAAGCAAACGUGAAAGAGAAAAAAAAAGAGUUAUCAAAAGCUAAACAUGCAAAUUAAAUCCCUAAUGAUGAAAUCUAAAUAUGCAAAUAAUGAAACUAACAGCCAGAAAAUAAAAACCUAAAUUAUGCGGCCCAACCAAAUCAAGAAGGCGAAAGGGCCAAAACCAAAAGAAAACUAGAGAAGAAAAAAGGUACAAGAAACUACCUAAUGCUUGUUUGUUUCAUCAAUAAAAACUAAAAUGCCUUUGAAUUUUGACCCAAAUUUUUAGGGUAUAAAUGAACUUUAGACAACCAUCAAUCCACUGCUCUUAUCAAGAGUAAUGGACUCAUGAAAAUCUUGGGUUCAAAAUCCCAAAAAAUUAUCGUAAAUUUGGAAGUGAAAGGAAGUUAGGGUUCUUGAGACCUCAAAUUCAAAAUUCGAGGAACUUGAUGCUGAUUCAUAGGGGACUAAGGUGGUUUAUGGUUCAGAGGGAUGCAGGGAUUAUAGGGUGUGAAUUUUGGGCGAUUUGAGUAAUCUAGGGUUUCUAGGAUUAAACUCAAAUUUGAUAUUCGAGGUGUUUGAGAGUGAUGGUUUGGAGAAUUGGAAAGAGGAAAUGAUGGGGGUUUUGGGGUGUUGAUUUGGGGCCAUUUGGAGAAGUUCUACCACUGUAGAGCAAUUCCCCGCAGCGGAGAGCAGUGGAGACAAUGGGGGAAACUGGGAUGGGUAGGUUUCUUUAGUUUAGUUAUUAGUGA
rnacentral:lncRNA from 1 species